rnacentral:tRNA from 1 species
GCCGACGUAGCUCAGUUGGUAGAGCGGCUGAUUCGUAAUCAGCAGGUCUCCGGUUCGAACCCGGACGUCGGCUCCA